rnacentral:rRNA from 1 species
UACGAGGGGGGCGAGCGUUGUUCGGAAUCACUGGGCGUAAAGAGUGCGUAGGCGGUUAUAAAAGUUAGGAGUGAAAGCCCCAGGCUCAACUUGGGAAUUGCUCUUAAUACUAUAUAACUCGAAUUCGGGAGAGGAUAGCGGAAUUGUCAGUGUAGCAGUGAAAUGCGUAGAUAUUGACAGGAACACCAGUGGCGUAAGCGGCUAUCUGGACCGACAUUGACGCUGAGGCACGAAAGCGUGGGGAUCAAACAGG